rnacentral:rRNA from 1 species
AUGCCAGCCACACUGGGUCUCUUCAAACACAUAUUCACCUGUCAUUCUGAGACGGUUAAGAAAGCUAACCCAGAUGACAAAAAGACGCACGUGAUCCAGAUGUGCAGGGGGUUAGGGAUCCAAAUGAGAGGUAGGAGUUCUUUUCCUCCCGUGACCUUUCCUGAGUCAGUCAGGGGAUGGCAGUCGACUUGGUUCUACUGCAAGGACAUUCCGACUCCUGGUCAGUCGACUGGCCUUCCCCCUUUCACUAUGGAGAGACUCCACACCCCUCGUUCACUAGUUGUAGCUCCGGAGGAGAAGGGGGAGGUGCGAAUGUUGGUCGACACCGUUGUUGUGUUGGUUCAAGGUGGAGUGACGGGUAUGGAUCUGUUGGAGGUAUUCCCCACUCAACGCAUCUAG